CUAGAAAAAAAAAAAACCAAAGAAACACAAAAAAAAACCCUAACUCGCUCUAUCUCAAGCUUUUUCUGACCCAAACCCUCACUUCCUCCUUCUCAUCUACAAACUCUCCAGUUCUCACAAAUAUCACUUUGAGUUGAACCCACACCCACCAUCGCUCCAUUUUUGCCGUCGUUGCUCCAAUCGAAGAAGUCACUCGCCAUCGCCGUCUCCUCUCAUCAUCUCGUCGCCGCUGCCUCUAUCUCAAUUUCAGUAAUCUUUUUGAUCUGAUGAAACCAGACCUCAUCUUUGGUUUUCAAAUUCUCGCUCCUCCCUGCCUUUCAAUCUUACAAGGUUGUUUGCUCUUCCAAUCAAGCAUUGAAGAUUCUUUUCAGAUUGGACAUGAGAUUGCAUCUGAAAUUACUGCUAUGAAACCAAAUCCAAUUGUUUGGAAGAUGGAAAAAGUUUAUAGCCCGUGCUUCCUCCUUAUUAAGAAGCGUUAUGUUGGUUACAGUUAUGAAAGCCCUGAACAGAUUGCCCAUGACAGUUCGCAGGGAUACAUGUGGGGCUGUUGCCAAGACAAUGGAGCAGUCUUUGAGACUUUUUUUUGAACAUCAGGAUAUGUAUGAGGUACAAAAGCAUGUGCUAUUCCUUUUGAUUGUACUUGAACUGGUUUGAUAAAAUCAAGGGUGAAGAGCAAAAGAUAGGACGUCCAUUGGUUGUUAGAGCAUACUUACAGCGUCAAUGGAAGCGGAUUCUAUCUGGAAGGGUGUCUCUUCAGGAUUUUGUAUUUGCAAAGGAGGUUCGCCUUGGCACCUACCGUGCUUGUAUCUAUUUUUCUGUUCUUAUUUCAUUACUGUCUGUCAUGUAUUGCCUUCUUGAUAUAUUUGAUUUAACACAUUGACUAAAACUUUGUUUUGGAAACAGAACUAGCUCUGUUCUUGUUUUGGCAGGAUAAACAAACAAUGUUAUUAUUAAUGGGAAGUAGCAGCAGCCCAGCAUUAGUGAAGAUUCAAAGGAAGCUAUGAAGCAUGCAUUCGAACUCUUUAAUGUUCGAUUGGAAGUAGACUUUGGGACUAGUGAUAUAGGACAUAGCUUAGGAUUGUAAUGAAUAUUUGUAAUUUAUUACAUUUGUCUUUUAUUAA